rnacentral:rRNA from 1 species
GAGUUUGAUCUUGGCUCAGAUUGAACGCUGGCGGCAUGCCUCACACAUGCAAGUCGAACGGCAGCAUGAUCUAGCUUGCUAGAUUGAUGGCGAGUGGCGAACGGGUGAGUAAUACAUCGGAACGUGCCCUGUAGUGGGGGAUAACUAGUCGAAAGAUUAGCUAAUACCGCAUACGACCUGAGGGUGAAAGUGGGGGACCGCAAGGCCUCAUGCUAUAGGAGCGGCCGAUGUCUGAUUAGCUAGUUGGUGGGGUAAAGGCCCACCAAGGCGACGAUCAGUAGCUGGUCUGAGAGGACGAUCAGCCACACUGGGGCUGAGACACGGCCCAGACUCCUACGGGAGGCAGCAGUGGGGAAUUUUGGACAAUGGGCGAAAGCCUGAUCCAGCAAUGCCGCGUGUGUGAAGAAGGCCUCGGUUGUAAG